AUUGAAAGUUGUUUUUCCUUGUACUAAAAAUAAAACUAUUACAUUGAGUCAUAACCUGAAAUUGAACAGCAUCAACUAUAAAACUCACUGCUUGGCAAGGUGGAAACUGGCUUCAAAUCAUUCUAAGACGACACAAAACCACAUCUAGUGGGAAACAGACAAAUCCUUGUCAAAACGGCUCUACAUUUCAAGUGUAGAUCAAACUAUUGAAAACUGGCUGAAAACGUUCAUGAGAUUAAACACAAUUCAGGACACUAUCCAAAAUGAAACGAUUAGCACAAAUAUUGGUUACAAACUUCUUAUUUUAUAUUCAGCCAAUUACAUUUUAGAAAAAUAUAUCAAAUAUUUAUUUCAGAAAAAUAUAUUUGCAGACAGGAUUAUCCAUUUCAAAAAAAGGUUAACAAUUAUAUAACUUUAAAAAGUUUUUAACUUAUCAAUAUUACUAUUUACAUUUAUAUUUUCUGGCAGCUUUAGAAAGCAGUCUUGAUACUGGGACAAUACGUAUUUUAUUUCAUUUAAUACAUCCAUUGACAUUAAAGGAGUAUCCACAUUACAGUGUAAAGUUUCAGUAUUACUUGUGGCUUGAUGGCUCCUUCCUUAUGGUUGUGUGUAGACUACACUGUAGUGGUUAUCUUUCCAUUCAAACAGAAUGUUAGUAAGACGGUAUGAAAUCACCAUGUCUACUGUCUGGUUAGUAGCCAUUUCCCCCAUACCCAGUGUUAGGUAGUGUAAACAUGCGAGGCUAUACAUGAAGCAGUACAGUGCUUGUGGUUAAUAACAGCUAGAAAAGGCAAGGCACACUGAUAAAACGGUUCACAGCCACAUACACAAUGACUUGAUCAAGCACUCAAUCAAUCGAUCAUUCUCUUCAUCCUCAAGGAUCCUUCAGUUCUUCAAACGAUCUCUGAUCAUGACGAUAACCGAUCAAUACCCCAUGAUGUGGUUAAUGUGGCCCUGAGAAGAGACUCAUUAUGUGACACAGGUAAUCUUUAUGGAAUUAACCGUUUACAUGAUGGUAGCAUUCCAAAUGGCACCCUCUCCACUAUGUAGGGAACAGGGUAGUGCACUACGUGGGGAACAGGGUAGUGCACUACGUGGGAACAGGGUAGUGCACUAUAUAGGGAACAGGGUAGUGCACUAUGUGGGGAACAGGGUAGUGCACUACGUGGGGAACAGGGUAGUGCACUACGUGGGGAACAGGGUAGUGCACCACGUGGGGAACAGGGUAGUGCACUACGUGGGGAACAGGGUAGUGCACUAUAUAGGGAAUAGGGUGCCAUUUGGGACUGAACCCAUGUCAUGUUCAUUAAUCAGUCCCUCCAGCAUUCUGAUGGGAUUUUUGCAGAGCAAACGGCUUGACUUUGCUGCGGCAAUCCUGACAUUUUGCAUGGCUAUGAUUUAGUCCAAUUUGUCGUGAAACUGAGCUGACGGGGGGGAAGAUUUGUUGAUGCGUGGCUUCAUUUAAACACAUUAUGUAGUAAAUGUACUCUGAUUGGUUGAAAUUGCAAGCCCUAUUUUUGUACUGCGGGCGAUGGGCCUGGUUUAUGUGACAACAUUGCGAUGAUUUGACUGUCGCACGUGGAAAGAGUGCAGUGAUUGGUCAAAUGUACAAGUCCCCGCAUAAUACGCAGGGAAUUAUUGAUUUAGCAAUAAAUAAAUACAAAUAAUUGCAGAAACCUGGAGGGACUGAUUAACCCGUUUAACAUGAAAAAGUCCAGAACGUCGACUCGGCCCAAGGUGAGCAUGAACAGCAAAGGGCUCCAUGGUCAAUAUGGUAGGUUCUUUAGCCCGAGGGACAGCCCUUCUAAAAUAGGCAUCUUUUAUUAUGUUGAUUUUAUAGGUGCAACAAUUGUCCCCAAAGUAAGAGACAUAAUAUCCCAUAUUAGUUAUUAGGAAUGUUUGACUAUAUGUGCUAUAGCUGUUAAAUCCCGAUUGCCACUGAUGAGACAUUAGUUUUGGUGUACAAAAUGCUGGGUUUAGGCCUAGACACUGACAUCAGUCACUACUGGGACAUGUUCAGGCAAAACAUCAGGAC
ensembl:lncRNA